rnacentral:rRNA from 1 species
UACGAAGGGUGCAAGCGUUACUCGGAAUUACUGGGCGUAAAGCGUGCGUAGGUGGUGAGUUAAGUCUGUCGUGAAAUCCCCGGGCUCAACCUGGGAAUGGCGAUGGAUACUGGCUCGCUAGAGUGCGGUAGAGGAGAGUGGAAUUCCCGGUGUAGCAGUGAAAUGCGUAGAGAUCGGGAGGAACAUCAGUUGCGAAGGCGGCUCUCUGGGCCUGACCUGACGCUGAGGAGCGAAAGCGUGGGGAGCGAACAGG